rnacentral:rRNA from 1 species
AAUGGGCGCAAGCCUGAUGCAGCGACGCCGCGUGAGGGAUGACGGCUUUCGGGUUGUAAACCUCUUUUACUAUUGAACAAGGCGCCAUAUUGGUGGUGUUGAGGGUAGGUGGUGAAUAAGCGCCGGCUAACUACGUGCCAGCAGCCGCGGUAAUACGUAGGGCGCGAGCGUUGUCCGGAAUUAUUGGGCGUAAAGAGCUCGUAGGCGGCUUGUCGCGUCUGCUGUGAAAUCCUGGGGCUUAACUCUGGGCGUGCAGUGGGUACGGGCAGGCUAGAGUGCGGUAGGGGUGAUUGGAAUUCCUGGUGUAGCGGUGGAAUGCGCAGAUAUCAGGAGGAACACCGAUGGCGAAGGCAGGUCACUGGGCCGUUACUGACGCUGAGGAGCGAAAGCAUGGGGAGCGAA